rnacentral:misc_RNA from 1 species
GAUGAAGAACGUAGCGAAAUGCGAUAAGUAGUGUGAAUUGCAGAAUUCAGUGAAUCAUCGAAUCUUUGAACGCACAUUGCGCCCUUUGGUAUUCCAAAGGGCAUGCCUGUUCGAGCGUCAUUUGUACCCUCAAGCUUUGCUUGGUGUUGGGCGUCUUGUCUCUAGCUUUGCUGGAGACUCGCCUUAAAGUAAUUGGCAGCCGGCCUACUGGUUUCGGAGCGCAGCACAAGUCGCACUCUCUAUCAGCAAAGGUCUAGCAUCCAUUAUGCCUUUUUUUCAACUUUUGACCUCGGAUCAGGUAGGGAUACCCGCUGAACUUAAGCAUAUCAAUAAGCGGAGGA